CCCGAAGGGCGGCCUACCAUGCAAGUCGAGCGGAUGAGUGGGAGCUUGCUCCCUGAUUCAGCGGCGGACGGGUGAGUAAUGCCUAGGAAUCUGCCUGGUAGUGGGGGAUAACGUUUCGAAAGGAACGCUAAUACCGCAUACGUCCUACGGGAGAAAGUGGGGGAUCUUCGGACCUCACGCUAUCAGAUGAGCCUAGGUCGGAUUAGCUAGUUGGUGAGGUAAAGGCUCACCAAGGCGACGAUCCGUAACUGGUCUGAGAGGAUGAUCAGUCACACUGGAACUGAGACACGGUCCAGACUCCUACGGGAGGCAGCAGUGGGGAAUAUUGGACAAUGGGCGAAAGCCUGAUCCAGCCAUGCCGCGUGUGUGAAGAAGGUCUUCGGAUUGUAAAGCACUUUAAGUUGGGAGGAAGGGCAGUAAGUUAAUACCUUGCUGUUUUGACGUUACCAACAGAAUAAGCACCGGCUAACUUCGUGCCAGCAGCCGCGGUAAUACGAAGGGUGCAAGCGUUAAUCGGAAUUACUGGGCGUAAAGCGCGCGUAGGUGGUUCGUUAAGUUGGAUGUGAAAGCCCCGGGCUCAACCUGGGAACUGCAUCCAAAACUGGCGAGCUAGAGUAUGGCAGAGGGUGGUGGAAUUUCCUGUGUAGCGGUGAAAUGCGUAGAUAUAGGAAGGAACACCAGUGGCGAAGGCGACCACCUGGGCUAAUACUGACACUGAGGUGCGAAAGCGUGGGGAGCAAACAGGAUUAGAUACCCUGGUAGUCCACGCCGUAAACGAUGUCGACUAGCCCUUGGGAUCCUUGAGAUCUUAAUGGCGCAGCUAACCCAUUAAGUCGACCGCCUGGGGAGUACGGCCGCACGGUUAAAACUCAAAUGAAUUGACGGGGCCCCGCCCAACCCGGUGAACAUGUGUUU
rnacentral:rRNA from 1 species